rnacentral:rRNA from 1 species
GAUGAACGCUGGCGGCGUGCCUAAUACAUGCAAGUCGAGCGAACAGACGAGGAGCUUGCUCCUCUGACGUUAGCGGCGGACGGGUGAGUAACACGUGGAUAACCUACCUAUAAGACUGGGAUAACUUCGGGAAACCGGAGCUAAUACCGGAUAAUAUAUUGAACCGCAUGGUUCAAUAGUGAAAGACGGUUGUGCUGUCACUUAUAGAUGGAUCCGCGCCGCAUUAGCUAGUUGGUAAGGUAACGGCUUACCAAGGCAACGAUGCGUAGCCGACCUGAGAGGGUGAUCGGCCACACUGGAACUGAGACACGGUCCAGACGCCUACGGGAGGCAGCAGUAGGGAAUCUUCCGCAAUGGGCGAAAGCCUGACGGAGCAACGCCGCGUGAGUGAUGAAGGUCUUCGGAUCGUAAAACUCUGUUAUUAGGGAAGAACAAAUGUGUAAGUAACUAUGCACGUCUUGACGGUACCUAAUCAGAAAGCCACGGCUAACUACGUG